GAAGAGAAGACCUCAGAAGAGAUUUCUGACACCAUGCAACUCCCAAGAUCUGGGAUUCUUGACAAGCCUGGGAUAUUGCUCUUGAUUCUGAGUCUCUUAAUUAUUUCAUUGGUGGGAGCUGUGUUUUUGGCUUGGAGAAUAAUGAGACAGAAGAAGGCUGAUGAGAAGUCCAUGGUGUUUCUGGACUCUAAUCAGGUAAGAGAAGCUAUGGUCUGAGGGAAAUUGAGAUCCCCCUCCUCCAUUCUUUCUCUGAUAAGGAAAGAGGCAAAGAAUGCAGUUAUAUAAUGUCCCAUGGCACAAUGGAAUCUUUAUUUUGAUCCAUUCCUGUAGAGAAGUGGUAUGGCCUAGUGGAUAGAAGGCUGGCCCCAGAAUCAACAUAUUGUCUGCAUGACCCUAGGCAAGUCAGCCUUUCAGGGAUCUGAGCAUCUGUAAGACUCCAUGUUGCAGAUCUGACUCAGUAAAGAAAGUUCGUUAUACUAAUGCAAUCACAGGCCCAGUCUUUAUUCCUAUGUCUAACAAAGAAGAUGUGGCAAUAAUUCCCAAUCAGGGGCCAUAGGCAUUGUGCUCAGGGGCUCUGGUUACCACCUUCCUCUCUUACUGUAAGAGAAGUCUGCAGAUAAGGGAUAACAAUAUAGCUAGGCUUUUGCCUAGUCAGAUAGGAACUCGGGUGAAUUUGGAGGCAGGACACAAAGGCUAUGAGAAAGUGUAGAGGGCAUUCAGAGAGAGAGUCAGUAGGCAAAGAAGACUGGGUCAGCCAGGGGAGGAGAUAAUCCUCAAUGAGAAUUCUGGGUCUGGUAUUUACAUGGUACUGUCCAAUGUGCUGACCAGCCCGUCUGUUGCUCCUGAGCAGCCAAACAAUGAACCUUGUUACUCGAAUCUGGAGCUACAGGAGAGACCCUCGAAUCAGGAUCCUCUUACCCAAAGCAAUCUAGACGUGGAAUUCAGCACUGUGAUUGAUUCUCAAAAACAGUCUGUUACAUAUGCCAUCUUAACUUUUCCCAUGGACAACCAGAGCACAGCUUUGGAGACACAGGAGUACCCAGUGGAGAAAACAGUGUAUACUACAAUAAUGAAGACAUAGGCUGCAACCCUCUGGCCUCCUGCACUGAAGGCCAGCCCUUUGGAUAAAAACAUAAAUAAACAUCUCUCUUUUUCCCA
rnacentral:lncRNA from 1 species